ACCUUAGAGACCAACUAAGUUUGUUUUGGGUAUAAGCUUUUGUGUGCAUAAGCUUAUACCCAGAACAAACUUAGUUUUUCUCUAAGGU